GAUGAACGCUAGCGGCAGGCUUAACACAUGCAAGUCGAGGGGUAUAGGUUUCGGACCUAGAGACCGGCGCACGGGUGCGUAACGCGUAUGCAAUCUACCCUUCACAGAGGGAUAGCCCAGAGAAAUUUGGAUUAAUACCUCAUAGUAUAACACAAUCGCAUGAUUGAGUUAUUAAAGUUCCAACGGUGAAAGAUGAGCAUGCGUCCCAUUAGCUAGAUGGUAAGGUAACGGCUUACCAUGGCUACGAUGGGUAGGGGUCCUGAGAGGGAGAUCCCCCACACUGGUACUGAGACACGGACCAGACUCCUACGGGAGGCAGCAGUGAGGAAUAUUGGUCAAUGGACGCAAGUCUGAACCAGCCAUGCCGCGUGCAGGAUGACGGUCCUAUGGAUUGUAAACUGCUUUUGUACGAGAAGAAACAUUCCGACGUGUCGGAACUUGACGGUAUCGUAAGAAUAAGGAUCGGCUAACUCCGUGCCAGCAGCCGCCGUAA
rnacentral:rRNA from 1 species